UCCAGAAAAUCAAACUCUUAAGAUCUUCUGACAGAAAAAAAAGGGAACGAGAGAGUGGUGGAAGCAGCAUUCUGGUGUAAGGUGGGAGCAGCAGACGGACUCUCUAAUGCCUGGAAUGAAUAAAAUGCAUCUUGCAAUGUUAAAACUUUUUAUCUUUUAAAUGAAAUCCGGAGAUGUAAAAUAGGUUCCAAUAAAUAAUGUAACAGUUACAGAAUUCUAAUGUUGUAGUGAAAUGUUAUGAAAUAUAACUUCAGCUAUGUGCUCUUAAUCUGCUGCAGCUAAAGAGAGGAUUUUGUUUUCUUCAAUUAUGCGUUUGUAGUUCAAAUUCUUGGAUUUAGAAUACACAUACCCAGUAAUUAAUUGGCUUAUUUACAAUUAUAGCAAUUGUUAGCACCCAUGUUUUAUGCAAGAAAUAGAAGGAAUUGUAAUUAAUAUGAAAAAGUAAUCCCACAUUUUAAGGAAUAUUGAAACCUAAUUUAAGACCAAAGUCCAAAACCAUUGAUCAGUCUAUAUCAUAAGCUUUAGUAGCAUUAUGCUGUGAAUUUGGAGGUAAUGUUUUUACAAGUACUAAGUAAAGUGCAUAAAAAUACUGUGUAAGUUUCAAAGCAACCUAAAAGCAGAUGUCUUCAAAUGAUAUAAAAAAAGUUUUAUUUCAUAAGUUUUGUUGUAUAAAUACCUGGUUUAAUUUUUAGUAUUUCAGAUUGUAUUUUCACUUGAAUAAUUUAUAAUGAUGAAACUAGUUUUUAAUCAGCUGCUAUUGCAAGCUAUCAUGCUUCAGUGAUGUCAUCUGCAUUCGUUUGUAUUAAUGUUAAUGUUUCUAUCAAAAUUUGACUGUGGGAAAACAUGCAAUUCUAUUUUGAAGAGUUCUAUUUAUGCCAAUACUAGAGAGAGAGCCUAUGAAGCUAUUGUCAGCUUCUCUAUUUCAGAGUAGAAGCAGCAUAAAUAUAUUGAUAUCAGAAAUAUGUGGUUUUUAAAAUUUAUUGGUGUAUGAUAAAGGUGAUCUGAUCUGUGAAUGCAUAUGCGUGUGUGAUUACUUUUUAUAAUGUAAAAAUAUGAAUGAUGAUUUACUCAAAAUAAAACCUAGGACAAUGCUGUACAUGCAUGUUCUUGAAAAAAAA
rnacentral:lncRNA from 1 species